UAGGGAAUAUUAGUAAUGGGCGAAAGCCUGAACUAGCAACGCCGCGUGUGCGAAGAAGGCCUUCGGGUUGUAAAGCACUUUUUGAGAGGAUGAGGAAGGACGGUACUCUCAGAAUAAGUCUCGGCUAACUACGUGCCAGCAGCCGCGGUAACACGUAGGAGGCAAACGUUAUCCGGAUUUACUGGGCGUAAAGCGCGUGUAGGUGGUUUGGUAAGUAGGGCGUGAAAGCUCCUGGCUCAACUGGGAGAGGCCGUUCUAAACUGUCGAACUAGAGGAUGGUAGAGGGAGGUGGAAUUCCGGGUGUAGCGGUGGAAUGCGCAGAUAUCCGGAGGAACACCAGUGGCGAAAGCGGCCUCCUGGACCAUUCCUGACACUCAGACGCGAAAGCUAGGGUAGCAAACG
rnacentral:rRNA from 1 species